GCUAAAGCAAAACAUAUGAUCUGUAAGCACUCUACAGAUCAGUAAACUCUGAACAAAAGUGACUAAGAAAUUUUAAAACUAACACCCUUCUUUACAAAGUGGCAGUGUAGCAGUCAUUUCUUUUUAAGGAGAACUUUGGACACUAUAAGCAAGCAGAAGACCCAGCUUCUGGGAAAUACCCUCUGGGAUGCAACUUUACUCCUUUUUAGUGGAUUCCUUCCCAGCAGUAAGCAUUUAUGGACAUGGUACAACAUAAAUGCAGGGUGCUAGGGAACGCAAGGCAAAGCAAGAAUGACCGAAGCUGGGAAGAAAAGAUGUGUCCUCCAGAAAUACAUACAAAUUCCCCUAAUGCAAGUUCUGGGAGAGUUACAUUUCCAAGCACUUACUUCAGCUGGUUUCUUGCUGGAUUCAACCAGUGGGAGGCACUGGUGUGAGAUUAGAUGAUGGAAGGAAAGAUGAAGACAGGACAAUUCUCCCUUUCUUUUGGACAGCAGCAAUCUUUCAAACUCCAAUUCUUGCUUGGUAUACAGUCUGCACCUCACAGCAGCACCCUUCAUGUUCUGUAGGUCAGAAAUCUGGUUUGAGUAUCACUGGGCUAAAAAGAAGCUGUUGGCAGGACUACAUUCUUCCUGAAAGUACUAGAGGAGAAUCUGAUUCCUUCUCUUUUUCUGCAUCCAGCAGCUGCCAUAUUCUUUUAAUCAUGGUAUCUUACUCCAUUUUUAAAGCCAGCAACAGCAGGUCAAAUCCUAUUCACUUUACAUAACCCUGAGGUUUAUGUUAUUCUGGGGGGCCCAGCAGAAUCCAGAAUAAUCUCCCUGUUUUAAGAUCAGCUAAUUAGCAACCUUAAUUUCAUUUACAACCUUAAGUUCUCCUUUCCAUGUAAUAGGAUAUAUUCACAGGUCCCAGUGAUUAUGAUGUGGACCUCUUGGUGGGGGGGCAUUAUUCUAUCUAAUACAGGUACUUUUUAUUUUUUACAAGAUGGCUAUUUCCUACUAGAUUAUGAGCUCUUUAUGCAUAUAUCUCAUAUCUCUGAUUUCUCUACACUGCAUUGCACAAAAUAAGCGAUCAGUAAAAAUGAAGCGCCUGCUUCCUUUUUUGAUGCUGGUCCACCAAGAGCUUAUCAUAGUAAAAGCCUCCAACAAAAUACACAAAAACCUUGGGGUAAGUCCCACUUCUUAUAUUUGUUCUACAAAUAUCAAUUGUAAAUAAAUGUAGAAUACAAACUGUUGAGCGUCUUGAGCCACUGCUGAAGUGUGCCCACAAAAUGGGAGCGAAAUGAAGAACCAUUAAGUGAUGUCAAGCUGCAGAUGACAAGGCAAUAUGGCAGCAGCU